UUUUGAAGCAAACGGCUUGCCAUACGUUGCAGCACAUACUCGGAUACUGAUGAUGCUUUACUGAUAGGGAGUGAUGAGUGCAAUGUUGGAACACUGAUAGUGAUAUGUUUCAUGGGAUAGGAAGUAAGUGUAAACUCCUCCAAACUGUCUAUACCUACGCUAGAUUAUGGUCUCACCAGACUCCAACCACCAGGAAUGGUAUUUGUCAACUCGAACUGUGCAUGAUCUAUAGUGAAACUCGUACUGGUCUAUGUCUUAUCGUCUCGUGAUCGUCAAUCUGCGGUUUACGAAGUUCAUGUUGCCAGUGUAUGUGAGUGUCGACGUCAUCAGUAACGGUGUUUUGAUAGCCAGUAACCAGGUGAUGGUUAUCUACUGCAGUACUACCUACAAGGAUUGUUGGAGGUUUCAACGUGAUCAACCCCUCGUCAAACAGUGAUGGACAUUGUUACCCGCUAUGCAGUUAUCUUCAGGAGUGAUCCUUAGAUGUCUUCGAAUAAUGCACACUGUUUUUGUGUAUGAGAGACUAGUUUACUUCUACUGUUUCUAGAUCAUUAUUGUUGUUUGUAUAAUAUUCCAUCUUCAUAGACAAUCGGUAUCAAGUUACAGAUAUGUGGUAUCUUUUAGUCGCAUUAUUGCAUAUGUUUGUGUCAACAUUGUAAUGUUUGUGUCAACUUUUUGCUCGCUAUAAUGUUCUUGAUUUCCAGCUUUGCCAGUUUUCCUUGUCCGGUAGCUAUACUUAGUCCUAUCUUAAAUUGAUUUACUAGGAGGAAUAGGCCUACUUAUUACCAAGUUAACUUUUCAUUUGUCCGACAUGGUCAGCUUUUCAUUUUGAGGCGUGGUAGUGCAAGGGAACUUCAUGCAUUACUCCUAACCAUUGGCAUGCUAUACUCACGGUCAUUUCAUUUCUAAUUUUAAACUCUGGGAAGACUUAAUGUGUUGACACUGCGUGUAGUUAUAGUUUGUGAUGCGUUGCCAUUUCAAAUACUAGGAUUUCUACUUGUCAACUCUUAGUUUUUCAGUUAUUAUAGCACUACAGAUGGCAGACCCAGCUCCAGGUGCAGCCCCAGCCGCAGCUCCAGCUCCAGCUCCAGCUCCAGCCCCAGCUCCAGCUCCAGCUCCAGGUGCAGCCCCAGCUCAACCAGUACUUAGACCAGCAGAUUUUCUUCCAGACCCUAAGUUUACUGGUGAAGAUGUAUCUAAUGAGAAAGCGAUCAGUCAUUGGUAUCUCUUUACAGACUAUUUGCAGGUCCAUGGAUUAGACAACCCCAAUGCUGCAGCAAUGCCAGCCGUAACGGUUAGGUUUAGAUUGUCCCUAGCAGGAAAUGCAAGAUUGUGGGCACAUGGUCGCAUGUUUACAGACCUGAAUGAUAUGAGAGCCUCAUUCAUCCAGCGGUUUAGCCAACACCAUAGCGAGUUUGCCAAUGUCAAAUACUUUGACAACAUUGUUUACAAAACAGGUGAAUCUGCAGAGCAGUUCUUGCAGAAGAUAAGAAUUGCAGGGCAGAUGAUAAACUACAAUGAUCAACAGAUCCGAACAAAGUUUUUACACUCUCUGCCAGAAGAAUGCCAGAGAGCAGUUGUCAUGGCCGCUCCAGUUGGAGCCAAUGCCCAAGUUCUUGCCAAUCUAGCCCUAAAGUACUUAGAUAUAAUGCCGAAAAGUGUAUCCUUUACAGAUCAGGUGCAUGUAGCAGCUCCCUCCCAAGAUGUAAGGGACAUCAAGAGUGACAUUCAAGAACUAGAAGCAAGCAUCAAAGACCUACAGGUGCAGUUUGCCAGCAAUGCAGCAGGAAGUUGUCGUCAUGAUGAUCAUAGGCCCAAUAGUCGGAGUCCCAGAAGACAGAGAAUGAGGAAUGAGUUCGGACACGGGUAUCGUCAUCGAUCUAAUAGCCCCUUUCGUCCUCGUACUCCCACCCAGGAUCAACAACGAGAACCCAGUCCUAGAAGGUCAACUGAUCGCCCGCAAAACAAGGGAUACCGUCUGUUCCAGUGUCAUUUCUGUGGGAAGUUUGGUCGUGGAUGGAGAAAGUGUUGGAGUUACCUCAAGAUGGCACAAGGUCAACAGGGACAGUCCUCUCGAUUUCAAGCUCAACAGGGACAACCCUCUCCAUUUCCAGCCCAACAAGGUCAGCACCCUAUGUUCCAGAUGCAAGCCGAUCACAUGAUGAACCAGUCUUCCUUUCAGCAAGACCCAGGCUCAGGUAGGUCAGGACAGUCAUGGCGACCCAGACAACCCAAUAGAGAUCAGAAUUUUCAGUAGGGGGUGGUUCAGAAGGACCAACUGAGUUACCCCGAGAAACUGUUAGAAAAGCUGAAGACCCAUCUGAAUUUUUAGGUACUGACACUACAGCCAUACAGUUAACAGCUAAUAAUUAUGCCAAAGGCUAUCUUGAUAGUAAAGAGGGUAUUCUCUUAUUGUUUGAUUCAGGAGCAACUUCUAGUCUUAUUUCAGGUUCUUGUAUACAGAUAUCGAAGUUUCUUAGUAGCUUGCCAGCAUUUGAUAUUGCACCAUGUUGCUUCAAAAUUGGUAAUGGAGAAUAUCUACAGACUAAUCAAGCACUAUCAUUCGAAGUUUCUAUUCAGGGUUGUAGGUUGAGAAUUUAUGCCUGCAUAGUAGACAACCUGACCGGCCCAGAUGUGUUGGUAGGAGCCUCUACGUUGUCCGCUUUGAAUGGUUCAUUAGAUUUUGCAACCCGUACUUUUACUGUGAGACCAAAGAAGGUUUGGUUCACACCUGUCAACCGUAGUAUCAUCAAACCCGGAGAAACAAAACAUGUAUUGGUGAAAGAUUUCAAGAAGAUGGUGACGUCAAAAUCGGGAUAUUCCUGGC